rnacentral:lncRNA from 1 species
GAGGGUGUCACCCGGGACCGCGGCUCAGCUGAUGGAAUUUGAGAAAUGGCAGGUGUGAGGACUCUGACCUUCCCAUGAAGCAGGUCAUAAGACCCUCAUGUGAGAGAUGCCCUCUCUAUACCUGGAGAAAAGAAGCAGUCUUAUUUGUGAAGACAGAGAGACGCCAAGAGGAAUCUAAAUGAAUAGGCCUUGGAACCCCAGACGCACGGGCCUUGUGCUGUCGCUGCCGUGGCACCCCUUCUAGAAGAAAAUCUAGGUAUCUUGCACCAAGAAGUGGAAAAUAAAGAAGAGAAAUGAGAACCAUGUUUGUAUUGGCUGUCUAUAAAAUAAGAGAAUGAAUUCCAGCAGACCCCAGACUUUUUGGCACCAGGGACCAGUUUCGUGGAAGACAAACUGUGUGAGGCAUGGUUUCAGGAUGAAACUGUUCUGUCUCAGAUCAUCAGGCAUUAGUUAGCUUCUCAUAAGGAGCUUGCAGCGUAGAUCCUCGCAUGUGCAAGUUCACAGUAGGGUCCGCGCUCCUGUGAGAAUCUGAUGCAGCCACUGAUCUGACAGGAGGCGGAGCUCAGGCCGUCAUACUGUCCUGCCCGCUGCUUACCUCCUGCUGUGCGGCCUGGUUCCUAACAGGUCAUGGACUAGUACCGUCAGUGGCUCAGGGGUUGGGGACCAUUGAAUUAUAAAUUUGAGAGCUCUCCUGAUAAUUCAGGAAAACAACUUGCUUUUGAGUUACCUAUCAAAAUAAAUUUUAUUCAGAUGAUUGCUUUGAUAUAAAUAAUCUAGUAAGGCUAUUUUGUAUUUCCAAAAUUAAACUCUCAAUUUCCUGUUUGUGUAUAAUGAAAUAGAUAAGAUGCAAAUUAAAAAGGAAAGAGAAUGACUGGUCUGUGAAAACCUCAUGAAACAGAGCUUCUUGUUUAAACUGUUACUAUCUACAAUUAUUGCUUUUAAGGUAUUUCUUAUAUAUUAAAAUAUCCUGUAUAAUCAUUUGAAAUAUUAUUUUAGGAAGGAAAAAUGAGUUUGAACAAUAGACUCUUCAUUGUUAAAUAGCCCCUGUGGGAGAUACGGACAGCCUGGUGAUGACUGUCACCCCAUGGCGUGCAUUCCUGUACUAUUGAUUCGACUGUGUCUUAACUUGCACAUAUUCCACAUAUGCUUUUGCAGCACAAAUUCCAAAAUCUCAUGAGAAAUGUAAAAAUGUGUGCUGGGGACUGUUUCUUAAUGGGUUGUCUAUAAAGUAAGCGUGUGUGUUGCAUAUAUCUUGAUAUUUUUUCUUUUUCAUUUUUUUCAACUUAGCUGCACAUUAAAAUCAUCCAUCUUCCUUGGUCUCAAAACACGGCUGUAUUUUCAGGAUCAGGAAAUAAAUAUGUUUUUGUUUCCUGCCCCCAAAAUAAAUUAUUUGAGUUGUUUUUCUAGG